GCCGGGCAUGGUGGCGCAUGCCUGUAAUCUCAGCUAUUUGGGAGGCUGAGGCAGAAGAAUCACCUGAACCCAGGAGGCAGAGGUUGCAGUGAGCAGAAAUUGUCCUAUUGCACUCCAGCCUGGGUAACAGGGCGAGACUCUGUCUCAA
rnacentral:SRP_RNA from 1 species